rnacentral:rRNA from 1 species
GACGGACGCUGGCGGCACGCCUAACACAUGCAAGUCGAACGGAGAGUUUUCGCCGACAAAGCCUUCGGGUGGAGUCAUGAGAACUCUUAGUGGCGGACGGGUGAGUAACACGUGAGGAACCUGCCUAACAGAGGGGGAUAACGUUUGGAAACGAACGCUAAUACCGCAUAAUGUCUUGGAGUCGCAUGGCUUUAAGACCAAAGGAGCAAUCCGCUGAUAGAUGGCCUCGCGCCCGAUUAGCUAGUUGGUGGGGUAAUGGCCCACCAAGGCGACGAUCGGUAGCCGGACUGAGAGGUUGAACGGCCACAUUGGGACUGAGACACGGCCCAGACUCCUACGGGAGGCAGCAGUGGGGGAUAUUGCACAAUGGGCGCAAGCCUGAUGCAGCAACGCC